UGCUGGCGCGUCUGACCCGCCGCCUGUCGCUGCAGGGCGAGCCGGCGCUGAUGGAGGGAAUCUUGCUGGGUGAACCCGUAAGUUGGCCCUCUCCAUCUCUUCCCCUCGCCGUUCCUCUGCCUUCUGCUUUGCCAAGCAGGCCCUAACGCUGCUCUCCCUCCCUGGCAGGGCUCCAAGGGUGACCGGGGCUUGCCUGGCCCCAAGGGAGAGAAGGUGAGGAACGGCCCCGGGUGGCUGGUGGGAAGGGGCCGUGGGGGUGCUGGGCUGGCCCGCUGCCUCCCCGCGGCCUGGCCCAGUCUGCUCCCCUCCGCGAGUCAUGCACCUCUGCUGUUUGCUUGUUUCCCCUGGCUAGGGGGAGCCUGGAAGAUUUGGGGAGCCUGGAGAUCCCGGGGAAGACGGAGCCAAAGGAUCGUCCGGAGCCAAGGGGGAAAAGGUAAGUGCCCUCUUGUCCUAGGGGGACAGGGUGUCCCCCAGGCUGUGGGGCAGCUCUGGGGGGCACAGUGCCCCUGAGGCCCCCAGGACGCCUUUUCUGUGCCCGCCAUGCGGGUGACCGUCUACGUGUGCUCUGCCCACAUCUGCAGGGCUCUCCUGGUGUCGGCGUGCGGGGACCUCCAGGACAGGACGGACCUCCUGGCUUGAAGGUGAUCUCUGCCGCUGCGUCGCUGCGGCUCUGGCCGUGUCCCCGGACGCCUGGGUUCUGUCCCGCUUGGCUGACCAGGGAGAAACACGCUCCCAGGGUCUCCCUAGCGGCUAUUUCCCUGGGCCCAUCUUUUCCCUCUCUGCUCCAGGGUGACACUGGCUUGCCAGGCCCACCAGGACCCCCGGGCUUGGCAGGUGUCGCAGGGACCCCG
rnacentral:lncRNA from 1 species